ACUCUUAGGAGACCGCCUCGUUAACGGGAGGAAGGUGGGGGAUGACGUCAAGUCCUCAUGGCCUUUAUGCCCAGGGCUACACACGUACUACAAUGGCCGGUACAGAGCGAAGCAAGACCGCAAGGUGGAGCAAAUCGCAGAAAGCCGGCCCCAGUUCAGAUUGAGGGCUGAAACUCGCCCUCAUGAAGUCGGAAUCGCUAGUAAUCGCGUAUCAGCAGGUCGCGGUGAAUACGUUCCCGGGUCUU
rnacentral:rRNA from 1 species